ensembl:lncRNA
GGUGGCUCUCCCAUAGGCACCAAUGCAUUAGCAGCUGGGUCUGCUCUGCUUAGUUCACUGACUCUAUAUGAGCUUUCCUUCUCCAGCUUCUGACCCGACCGACACUGUUGAAGUCUUUAACCAAAGAGAGCCAGGCCCUUCCUUUAAUCAACUCCAAACAGGAAAUUGUUUCAGAGUAUCCUUUCUACCGCCAUCUGUGGGUGAUUGUGUGGUAGUUUUAUCUGAACCACAUUAAAUGCCCUCUAAUCUGACAUUUAGUUGGCAGUUAGUGACAGUUCAAGAUAUUACAAGAGAAGGAAACAAUUAGGGAGGGAAAAUAAAUAACAUUGUAUACAACAAUAUCCAUUUAUUCUUUAAAUAUUUCAUAAAUACUUUGAUAUAGCUAUAUUUUAGAAUAGAUUGAGAACACAGGACAAGACAAUCAUUUGAAAUAAAUAUCUUAAGUAUAUAAUACGAUAUAUUUCAGAGUCACACAGAGGAAAAAAUAUAUGUCGAUGGAACCAUGAUUGAAUAUGAACAAAUGCAUGUGAACAAAUGCUGAUGUUAAUAUAUAUUUGGAGAAAUAAAAUAUCAAAAUAUAAUAUAUUAUAUUAUCUAGGCCAUAAUGUCACUUCCACCUGAGGAGUCUGGUGGGAGGAGCUAUAGGAGGACAGGCUCAUUGUAAUGACAUCAAUGGAACAGAGUGAAACAUGGUUCCAUUCCAGCCAUUACAAUGAGCCUGUCUUCCUAUAGCUCCUCCCACCAGCCUCCACUGCUAACCACCCCUGGGGGCCCCUGCAUUUGACACACACACUUCUGAAUAUCUCACAGCUCCACCAUACAGCAUGUUAUCUUUAUUUAACUAGGCAAGUCAGUUAAGAACACAUUCUUAUUUUCAAUGAUGGCCUAGGAACAGUGAGUUAACUGCCUUGUUCAGGGGCAGAACGACAGCCUUUUUUUUACCUUGUCAGCUCGGGGAUUUGACCUUGCAACCUUUCAGUUACUUGUCCAACGCUCUAACCACUAGGCUACCUGCCGCCCCUAGAAUGUGGAUAGGACUAGGACUAGUUUAUGGAAAGGUUAUUCCCAGAGCCAGAACAACACAGAUCCAGCUAUCCUCCAUAACAUGUAAGAAAUAUAACUAAACUAGAAACAUAUUUCAUUGCGACGAACAUCAUCACGCGUUAGCUAUGAGUUGGCAGUCAUCUAAAAAUAUCAUUUUCUGAUUAUGUUUAAAGCAGUACAGUGUGCUCACCGGUACUACACAUUGUAAUUGACAAUGAAAUAGAACUCAGGUCUCCAAAUUCUGGUGACUUUCCUCAAACUCCUGAUAUACUAGUUGGAAGAGUCAAGGAAUCCGAAAGUAAUAAACAAGAAAUCCGGGAAUCCUCCAACCAAGAUUUCUGGAAAACCUGGUUAUUUUGGAAAAGUUAGACAUUUUGCGAUCCUAAAUAGAUCGCUCACCCAAAACAGUUCCAGUUGGAAGUAGAGCACUUCAACAGUACAUUACAUGGGACAAACUGCAGAAUGCAGAUGACUUUGGAAUAUAUGGCACGUUUGAUGAAUAAGUCUCCAUGCCAACCUCCCAGAAAGCAUCUGCACAAGGACAGCUCCGCAGCAGAGAGCAUUGGCACUACACACACAGACAGACACUGACCGUUAGCACUGACAAGACAACACAUGUCCACAGGGACACCAGAAUAUGUCGCCUACAGUAUAAUUGGCUUAUACAGUAUAAUAGACUUUUGUAAUAUCCCCCUGGGUUCUAGAAUGAACUAUAGUGAUAUUAUCAUUGAAAUAGAAUCCCCUCUAACGAUAUGGGCACUAUAGAUCUGAUAACCAGCACUAUAGAUCUGAUAACCAGGGAACUACACAGCAGUAUAUUUAGAUCACACACAGAAGCAGACACAGCUAUGAGACCGACUCACAGUGCAAUAGUCAUAUGUGCAUUAUGGCACCUAUUCAUAUCACUACUAAUGCUUCUGCACUGAUGCCGUCAAACAGGGGGAAAUGGUAGAAGAUAUUCAGGAUUCUUUCUUUCACAUAUAACUGAGUGUACAAACCAUUAGGAACACCUGCUCUGACCAGGUGAAUCCAGGUGAAAGCUAUGAUCCCUCAUAAAUCCACUUCAGUCAGUGUAGAUGAAGGGGAGGAGAGGUUAAAGAAUGAUUUUUAAGCCUUGAGACAAUUGAGACAUGGAUUGUGUAUGUGUGCCAUUCAGAGGGUAAAUAGGCAAGACUAAUGAUUUAAGUGCCUUUCAAGGGGAUAUGGUAGUAGCUGCCAGGGGCACCGGUUUGUGUCAAGAACUGCAACGCUUCUGGGUUUUUCACACCCAACAGUUUCCCAUGUGUAUCAAGAAUGGUCCACCACCCAAAGGACAUCCAGCGAACAUGACACAACUGUGGGAAGCAUUGGAGUCAACAUGGGCCAGCAUCCCUGUGGAACGCUUUCCACAACUUUAGAGUCCGUGCCUCGACGAAUUGAAGCUGUUUUGAGGGGGAAAAGGGUGUGCAACUCAAUAUUAGGAAGUUGUUCCUAAUGUUUUUUUACACAGUUUAGUUCAUAACUACAUCCUCAUUUCACUGAUCUGGUGCAAAACCAACAUUAACCAGAAGAUAGUAGACUGCAGCACACCCAUCUCAGGUUUGGACUGUACCAAGCCCCAUGGCACAUAAGAGGACCUCAGUCAGGGAACAGACCAUUAUUAAGGAGCUGGAGGGGUCCUCCCAGUUCUCUAGUUUAAGGCAUAAGUUGAACAAGGAGGUAUCCUAACUGCUACAACUCAGAAUCAGGGAUCUUGUUGCCAUAAUGUUUUGAGGACUAGAAACCUUUCUUCAAGACAUUGAAAACACAACAAUAAAAAGCAUCAUUAUAAACUCUAUGACACUACUGGGACAUACUAAUAAUACCUCGGUGCCCAUAACCAGUUACCUAUUCUUUAUGCAUGAUGCUUUCAGUACGACAGAAGGUCAGUAUUACGUUGGAGGCUAUUCAAAACAGAACCUGGAUUUGAUUACACAUAAAACAACAUUCAUCCACUGGGCCAAAACUGGUUGUAUCAACAUUGUUUCCACCUCAUUUCAACCAAAAUAAUCACCGUGAUGACGUUGAAUCAACUUAUUUUUACCCAACUUUUAACCGUUGAAGUGACUUAUGACGGCUCAAUCUGAAAUUACCUUCACAUUUCAAGCGUGCUACAAUGCUGAACCUCAGCUAUAUGGAGACCCUAAUUUUACUUCAGUUGAUGUUAGGAUUGUCUUCCAAGUAUGACCUGCCCCACUUAUAGCGCUUUGGACUCUUCUCAUCUAACAGACUCAACGUCCAUAAAGAACCUCUUCUCAUCUAACAGACUCAACCUCCAUAAAGAACCUCUUCUCAUCUAACAGACUCAACCUCCAUAAAGAGCCUCUUCUCAUCUAACAGACUCAACCUCCAUAAAGAACCUCUUCUCAUCUAACAGACUCAACCUCCAUAAAGAACCUCUUCUCAUCUAACAGACUCAACCUCCAUAAAGAACCUCUUCUCAUCUAACAGACUCAACCUCCAUAAAGAGCCUCUUCUCAUCUAACAGACUCAACGUCCAUAAAGAACCUCUUCUCAUCUAACAGACUCAACCUCCAUAAAGAACCUCUUCUCAUCUAACAGACUCAACCUCCAUAAAGAGCCUCUUCUCAUCUAACAGACUCAACCUCCAUAAAGAACCUCUUCUCAUCUAACAGACUCAACCUCCAUAAAGAGCCUCUUCUCAUCUAACAGACUCAACCUCCAUAAAGAACCUCUUCUCAUCUAACAGACUCAACUUCCACAGGAAAAUAACAACCACUCAGUGUGUCAAUUGUCAAUAAAUCAAACCUAGAAACCCCAAGAGGAUAAAUAUUUUAUAAAUAAUUAUGUCAAUCUAUCCAUCUAUUAAUAAAUAAACAUUCUGGUUUUCCCCCCUUUUUCUCACAAAAAAAGGCAAAGGUUGAGUCAUGCGUCCUCUGAAACAUUAGCAGCCAAACCACGCUCCUUAACACCCACCCACUUAACCCGGAGGCCAGAUGCACCAAUGUGUCAGAGGAAACACCGUUUAACUGACUUCUAAUGUCAGCCUGCAGGUGCCCGGCCCGCCACAAGGAGUCACUAGAGCACAAUGAGCCAAGUAAAGCCCCCCCCGGCCCAACCCUCCCCUAACCCAGACCACGCUGGGCCAAUUGUGCACCGCCCUAUGGGACUCCAGGUCACGGCUGGUUGUGACACAGCCUGGGAUCGAACCCGGGUCUGUAGUGACGCCUCACUGCGAUGCAGUGCCCUAGACCGCAGUGUGGCCACCUGGGAGGCCACUAAUAUAUUAUCCUAAUGACAAACAUACUAUGCCUCUCUGCAAUACUUUGACAAUUAUAUAUAUUAAAUCUUUCUUUAAAAUAGUCUUCAGGAUUAAAUAUAAUACAUUUCAUAAUAUUAUAUAAUAUCAUAGCUAAUGUACAUUUAAUUUCUCUAGUCAACAGUUUACCCUUCAGCAGAUUCACUGUAAACAGUUCUUGGGAGGUGACAAGGUCAACCAAAAGGUAAACAGAUGUCUGUUUGUAGCAGCCAAUGGCUGGAAACACUCUCCCUUCUCUUUUCAAUAGACCACAACAAAUAGAAUGUGAUCUACCUAGCAACAGUAACAGUCCCACUUGAUCACCUGUUGGGACUCCAUGGAUUAAUCCACCCUGACGUGUGAAGAAGGCAUGUUGAUUCUGCAUUUGAUUUGAAUACUUUGGUAUGAGAUGGGUUAAAAUGUCAGAGGUGAGGAUGUACUGUCACUGGUACUGUAGACAUAGUGAAGUAUGGAUUUCAUCUUGGUGCUCUAACAGGACAGAAGAGAGCAGAGAGAGAAGGGGAGAGAGGGGCAGGGGAGUGGGCAAGAGGAGAACACUAACAGGUAUUGGUCCUUGGCCCUGUUCUAAUACUCUAAAGAUGCAUGUUUCCUCCCUUCUUUUUCUUGAGGUAAUCACUAAUCUAAUGUGAUUGGAUAGGUGAGAGCAAGGAUUCUACUGCACUGAUUUCACCAGUCAUUUUAUGUCAGAUCAGAUCAAGGAAGGGAGGAUGCAUUUUUAUUUUUAGAGUAUUCCAACAGGUUCAUUUUUCAAGCGCCCUCUGACCUCCGUUAGCUAGAAGGUUAUCAGGCAGCUCAAUGUCUAAACACAGACUCCAAAGAUAUAGAAGGGGACCGACACAGAGUAGCUACCCUGCCAGGGUCAUAACUAGGGCCAGGAGUUUCCCCAGCCGGACCUUGUGAUUUAACCUAAAGGGUCAAAACUCCGGGCCCUAGUUAUAGCCUACGUCUGUAGUUUAGAACCUUGUAACUAGGGCCAGGACUUUUUCCUAGUGCGGUCACGCAAGUUCAGUCAGGGAAAAACUCCUGGCCCUAGUUAUAACGUUACGUUUCGAGUUUUGUUACUGAAAUGUUAACAAAACGUUACUGAAACGUUACAGGGACGCUUCUCAGACGUGGGACUCAUCCAGGUCCAGGUCGACUGGGGAGAUGGGGAGGGGGGAGCGGCGGGGGGCAGGGCGGGGGGAGUGGUGUGGGGCCAGGGCGGGCAAGCGGCGGGGGAGAGCAGGGGGCGAGUAGGGGGUUCUCUGUGCCCCCAUUGUCCUCUGAAAUGUGGAGGAGGGUGUCUGCGUUCCUCCCCAGCAGGGCAGUCGUGUCCUCGUCCUCGGGGCUCUCGGGGUCUGAUGGGAGGACGGACCAGGAUGGAAGAGGUGGGUGGGGGGAGCGGGGGUCGGAUCCCCAGGAUCGGCAGAGGGGGAGGGGAGAACAGGUGCGAGAGAUGGAGAGAGGUGGAGGAGGGAGAGGAGAGCAGGAGGAGGGUGGGGUGGGGGUGGAGGCGCGGGAGAUGGGGAGAGGUGGAGGAGGGAGAGGAGAGCAGGAGGAGGGUGGGGUGGGGGUGGAGGCGCGGGAGAUGGGGAGAGGUGGAGGAGGGAGAGGAGAGCAGGAGGAGGGUGGGGUGGGGGAGAUGGAGGGCCGAGGAGAGAGGCUGCUGCGGAGGCCCCACUGUUCUCGUUUCUCCUUGCUCUCCAUCGAUAACU